rnacentral:rRNA from 1 species
GGCCAGACUCCUACGGGAGGCAGCAGUGAGGAAUAUUGGUCAAUGGACGCAAGUCUGAACCAGCCAAGUCGCGUGAGGGAAUAAGGCCCUACGGGUCGUAAACCUCUUUUGCCGGGGAGCAAGGGCGGGGACGUGUCGGCGGAAGGAGAGUACCCGUAGAACAAGCAUCGGCUAACUCCGUGCCAGCAGCCGCGGUAAUACGGAGGAUGCGAGCGUUAUCCGGAUUUAUUGGGUUUAAAGGGUGCGCAGGCGGCCCGGCAAGCCGGCGGUCAAAUCGCGGGGCUCAACCCCGCCCAGCCGUCGGAACUGCCGGGCUAGAGUGGGCGAGAAGUGCGCGGAAUGCGUGGUGUAGCGGUGAAAUGCAUAGAUAUCACGCAGAACUCCGAUUGCGAAGGCAGCGCACCGGCGCCCUACUGACGCUCAGGCACGAAAGCGUGGGUAUCGAACAGGAUUAGAUACCCUGGUAC